ensembl:lncRNA
CAUCCCUGUGUACCUGAGGUCUUCUAAGGGGCCUCCAGAGAUAAAGGGAGAAUGCAUGUGGGUUUUAUCUACCCAGCCAGUUCACUGCAGCUGAAGGAAAGCUGAAGAUCAAAGAGAAGCAGAUAGAAGGUUCUCUCAGCAGAGCAACCUGGUCAUGGAAAGUGGAGAUAAGCUACUCUGCCCAGAAGCCCCAGGAGAAGCUGUGGGCAGAACUUCAGACAGCUGAGUUUGAAGGACUUUUUCAUAGCUGAAGAUGUUAGGGUACUUUUCAACAACUUGUGUAUAAUCCUAGCCUACUGCGUUUUUAGUGACUGAAAUCCUGUUCCCAUGUUGUGAACUUUUCUUUAAGAACCUUUGGAAUUCAAUAUUGCCAUCUGUUUACUGUUGUUAACAGAUCUACCAAGUCUUGUGUUCCUCCACAUGGGAUGCUUCCUUAAACUCACUGAGGCAAGUUGCAGAUAAAUACAGUUCAAGUGCUAAGUGUCAGCCUUUAAUUAACUCAACCUGCAGUUGCAGUGUUAAAGUGGGAUUCAGAGGGUACCCAUAUGCAUGGAGCAGGAAAGCUGGUAGCUGACUUCCUUGGAAAACUGAGCAGCCAUAUGGGGAGUAGAUUGGUAGGUGUCUGGUAUCAUGAAUUGCUACAGGUGUGGGAUGUAUAUGUGUGUGGGAAUAAAUUUUUGCUAGGCUUACAUAGUAUCUGUAGGAUGAAGAUGACUUGGAAGAUAACUUAAGUGCUUUGGGAACUGGAAAAAUCUGCUAGAGGGACUGAGUGCUGCAUUUGUUCAGUUUGGCUUCUGAAGAACUUGGAGGCGGUGAGAGAGCUGGUUUUGUACCCCAUGCGUUAUUGCUGCCAUGCUCACAGAGACUGCUAUUGCUUCACACUGCUCCUUCACAGCUGGGAUUUACAAGAGAAGCACCAUCUUUGGAAAGACAUCAGUAAGAAAGCAAUUCUGCAGGAAAAAGUGAUGUUCUUUCAUUUUGAAGCCAGGACAUAAGUUUCCUUAUAAUGUGC